UGUUUUUGGCAGACCAGACUGCCUUAAAGUUGUAGAUUAAUAACCUCUGCAAAGCACAUUUUACCUAAGGACGUCACGCACCUGUUACAAGAGCAUAAGUGACCUAGAAGUCUCGAUGUGACAUCAGGGAGAAGAGCAAUAAAGAAAAAACAAGGUGCUUGACACUCGGCACAGUAAAAGUUUGUGUUCCGAUCAUGCUUCUGCGGAACUUGACUCCGCUCAUGUUAUACAGCGGAACCCAACUUGAAGUGACCGCUCUGCAGAGGAACCUAAUUAAGGCAGAGAUUCUAACAGGAUGUGAAGCAGGGACAUACUUGUUAACUUCUUACUGUACCCCUAUGGGAGGUGCUGGAAAGUGGAGCCAUGAUUCACGACAGAAUUAUGCAGUAGGGGUGGAGCCAAGAUUUUGACAUCACAACAUCAAUCCCCCAGACCGCCCACUUCUCUAGUGAAGUGGGCAGGAUCCAGGAAGCUGGUCUACUCUCCUCAGAUUGUGUUAAAACGACACCAAAUUCAGAGCUCAUUCGGACAUUCUGCAGCUUGAAACGCCAGUCUCUUUUAUUUGGCAUGCAUGACUGGGAGUCUGGUGCAGGUUUCUGAGACAAUAAAAUGUUAGUAUUAAAUAGAAAUAAAAUAUAUGUACAUUUUUCUAUUUUAUUUUUUUUAGUUUGUGGCUCAAAAAAUUAGCUUGGUACAAGUAUUUGUAGCACUUUUGUUUAACGGUCGUGUAAGGAACCUUUUACUGUUACUGCUUUGGAUAGCAAAUGAUUAAGUACACCAAGCAUUACUACAUCAGCCAUGGAUCAAGACAAAGGCCGGUACCCUAUUAGGUGCCAUAGUUUUUAGCCCGUUGGUCAUUAUCACGCUAUCCAAUUAUAGGCCAUUUUAAUCGUCUGAAAAAGGACUGUCGAUUGUGCGAUAACACAUCGGAUAAGCUCCCGAUCCCAUGUGCUAUCACUGCU